GGAGCAGUAAUGUUUGACUUUCAGUUUGUACAGGUGCACAAUUUUAAUAUUGUUUUAUGUGCCACAUAAUUUAUUUGUGAAUGACCAAUCCUGCCUCAAAUAACUUUUUCUCCAUAAGUAUAGAAACGCAAUUUGUAAAAUGAGGUUAUAGCGUUUUGCUUGAAAUAAAUACAAUCAUCAAUGCCAUAUACUCAAAAAAGUGAUGUGUUCCAAGCGGAUAUAUUAGCAGUAUUAUAGUUAAAUUAAAGUGUAUGGCAACAUGUUCCGGAGUAAAUUCCGGAUGCAUACAUGCCGAGUUAUUUUAUUGACUUCACUAGUUUGGUUUUUAGUGGAUGUAGUGUUACUAACAUUUUACUCAGACUGUAUAGGAUCAGGCUGGAAUUGUAGGAGACGAGAUGAAUAUAUUGUCGAGAUUGAUCAUCCAAAGGCACUCGUCGCCAAUAAGGCUGAACUGU